rnacentral:rRNA from 1 species
UCUUAGUUCGUGGAGUGAUCUGUCUGCUUAAUUGCGUUUCAAAUUUUAUAUUUGUUAACAUGCGAGUCUUCAAUGACGGCCACUCCACCUUAUAGACAUUAUAUGAUAUGCACAUUUGUGUAUUUGAUUAUAACUUGUCUGGAGUCUGGCUCGAUUUUUUUGACUCAAUUGAACGCAACGGACGUGAUUGCAAGUCCUUGUUGAACAAAUUAUAUAUAUACUACUUCAUCAUUAGUAUAUAUAGUUCGCUUCUCAUGUCGUAGCAGUCAAACGGGCGGGCGUCUUAAUUGGCGCGGUCACGAGGCUUAAUAUGCUGCGGCUGGGAAAACUUGGGCGACCGCUGUAAUACUUCUCUCUUAAACCAGAGGAAGAUUGCGGCAAUAACAGGUCUGUGAUGCCCUCAGAUGUCCCGGGCCGCACACGUGCUACAUUGAUUAGCGCAGUGCGCAUACUUACAUAUAGAUCAUUGAUUGGUUAUUUAUAACCGUCAAUAUCGCCUUGUCUGAAAGGACUAGGUAAUCUAUUGUAAGUGCUGGUUCCUCCUCCCGUUGAGCAUUUUAAUAAUGGUCUCUCUACAUCCCUAGCACAUGAUGUCUAGUGCGAUUGUAGUUGAGUUCUGCCAUUUAUGCAAGUGUCAAUUC